UUCGCCGUGAACUGCCAGUAGUCCUGCGACUCCAGCAGCGCCUGGUAGCUGUAGUGGUCGCCGUCCGCCAGCGUCUCCAGCACCAGCGGCUCGCCGUACUUGCCGGUGCCGAUGCGGUUCACCUUGCCGUGGGCGAUGAGGACGAUGGAGUCCGCUUCCUUGCCGGCCUCGGUGAUGACCUCACCGGCCUUGAACUCCUUCUGCUCGAAGCGGUUGGCCAGCGCGGUGAGCGCGUCCACGUCUUCAUAGCCGCGCAGCAGGGGCAGCUCGCCCAGCUCCUGCGGAAUCACCUGCACCUUGGCGCCGGUGCUGGUGAAGGUGACGCGGCCGUCGCCCACCGCGUAGGUCAUGCGGCGGUUGACGCGGUACGUACCGCCGGACACCUGCACCCACGGCAGCAGCUUGAGCAGCGUCCGCGAGGAGAUGCCCUGCAUCUGCGGCUCGGACUUGGUCGUCGUCGCCAGCUGACGCGCCGCCUGCGUGCCAAGG
rnacentral:antisense_RNA from 1 species